GUCUACAGCCAUGCCACCCUGAACACGCCCGAUCCUGUCUGAUCUUGGAAGCUAAGCAGGGUUAGGCCUGGUUUAGUAUUUGGAUGGGAGACCACCUAGGAAGACCAGGUACUGUAGGUG
rnacentral:rRNA from 1 species